UACGAAGGGGGCUAGCGUUGCUCGGAAUCACUGGGCGUAAAGGGUGCGUAGGCGGGUCUUUAAGUCAGGGGUGAAAUCCUGGAGCUCAACUCCAGAACUGCCUUUGAUACUGAGGAUCUUGAGUACGGGAGAGGUGGAGUGGAACUGCGAGUGUAGAGGUGAAAUUCGUAGAUAUUCGCAAGAACACCAGUGGCGAAGGCGGCUCACUGGCCCGUUACUGACGCUGAGGCACGAAAGCGUGGGGAGCAAACAGGG
rnacentral:rRNA from 1 species